GUAGGGAAUAUUGGGCAAUGGUCGGAAGACUGACCCAGCCAUGCCGCGUGCAGGAAGACGGCCCUCUGGGUUGUAAACUGCUUUUAUCUGGGAAGAAAAAGGCCAUGCGUGGCAAAUUGCCGGUACCAGAUGAAUAAGCACCGGCUAACUCCGUGCCAGCAGCCGCGGUAAUACGGAGGGUGCGAGCGUUGUCCGGAUUUAUUGGGUUUAAAGGGUGGGUAGGCGGCUGAUUAAGUCAGCGGUGAAAGACUUCGGCUUAACCGGAGCAGUGCCGUUGAUACUGGUUGGCUUGAGUGUCGGAGGGGUACAUGGAAUUGAUGGUGUAGCGGUGAAAUGCAUAGAUACCAUCAGGAACACCGAUAGCGAAGGCAUUGUACUGGCCGACAACUGACGCUGAUGCACGAAAGUGUGGGGAUCGAACAGGAUUAGAUACCCGGGUAGUCC
rnacentral:rRNA from 1 species